GCGGCGUAGAUUAGGCAUGCAAGUCGAGCGAUACCUUUUUUGAAGCACUGAAGUCGCAAGAUGGAUGUGUGGAUGAAGGGGAUAUAGCGGCAGACUGGUGAGUACAACGUGAGUAAUUUACCUCCAAUACGGGGAUAGCACCGCGAAAGCAGUGGUAAUACCCGAUGUGUUUACGAGGGCGCAGGCCCUUGUAAGUAAAGGCGCUUCGCAAGAGGUGAUGAUUGGAGAUGAGCUCGCGUCCUAUCAGCUAGUUGGUAGGGUAACGGCCUACCAAGGCUUUUGACGGGUAGCUGGCCUGAGAGGGUGGUCAGCCACAUGGGGACUGAGACACUGCCCCAACUCCUACGGGAGGCUGCAGUCGAGGAUAUUUAGCAAUGGGGGAAACCCUGACUAUGUGACGCCGCGUGAGGGAUGAAGGUCUUCGGAUUGUAAACCUCUUUCGACAGGAAAGAAACGCUGCAUUAACAGUGCAGCCUGACGGUACCUGGAGAAGAAGCCAUGGCCAACUCUGUGCCAGCAGCCGCGGUAAUACAGAGAUGGCGAGCGUUACUCGGAUUUAUUGGGUGUAAAGGGCAGGUAGGUGUUUUGCCAAGUUGUAAGUGAAAUCCUAAGGCUUAACCUUAGAACUGCUUACAAAACUGGCGAAAUUGAGAUCGGUAGAGGAAAGCGGAAUUCCCGGUGUAAGGGUGAAAUCUGUAGAUAUCGGGAGGAACACCAGUGGCGAAAGCGGCUUUCUGGACCGAUUCUGACGCUAAGCUGCGAAAGCUCGGGGAGCAAACAGGAUUAGAUACCCUGGUAGUCCGAGCCGUAAACGAUGAGCACUAGGUGUUGUGGGUUAAACCCUCAGCGCCGUAAGUUAACACGUUAAGUGCUCCACCUGG
rnacentral:rRNA from 1 species